rnacentral:rRNA from 1 species
GUAUCUAAUCCUGUUUGCUCCCCACGCUUUCGCGCCUCAGCGUCAGUGUCGGUCCAGAUGGCUGCCUUCGCCAUCGGUGUUCUUCCCAAUAUCUACGAAUUUCACCUCUACACUGGGAAUUCCACCAUCCUCUCCCGAACUCGAGCGUGCCAGUCUCAAGCGCGGUUCCCAGGUUGAGCCCGGGGCUUUCACGCCUGACUUGACACACCGCCUACGCGCCCUUUACGCCCAGUAAUUCCGAACAACGCUAGCCCCCUUCGUAUUACCGCGGCUGCUGGCACGAAGUUAGCCGGGGCUUCUUCUCACGCUACCGUCAUCAUCGUCGCGUGCGAAAGAGCUUUACAACCCGAAGGCCUUCAUCACUCACGCGGCAUUGCUGGAUCAGGCUUGCGCCCAUUGUCCAAUAUUCCCCACUGCUGCCUCCCGUAGGAGUCUGGGCCGUGUCUCAGUCCCAGUGUGGCUGAUCAUCCUCUCAGACCAGCUAAGGAUCGUUGCCUUGGUAGGCCGUUACCCCACCAACAAGCUAAUCCUACGCGGGCCCCUCCCAUGGCGAUACAAUCUUUGUCCCGCAGGACGCAUACGGUAUUAGCUCCAGUUUCCCGGAGUUGUUCCGUACCACAGGGCAGGUUCCCACGCGUUACUCACCCGUGCGCCACUAGGGCUCCGCCGAAGCAAAACCCCCGUUCGACUUGCAUGUGUUAGGCAUGCCGCCAGCGUUCGUUCUGAGCCAGGAUCAAACUCU